rnacentral:rRNA from 1 species
GAUGAACGCUAGCUACAGGCUUAACACAUGCAAGUCGAGGGGUAACGAGAGGAAAGCUUGCUUUCCUUGUCGACGACCGGCGCACGGGUGAGUAACGCGUAUCCAACCUGCCCCCAACUAGGGAAUAACCUAGCGAAAGUAAGACUAAUACCCUAUAAUUUCCUCAGAUGCCAUCUGACGAGGAAUAAAGAUUUAUCGGUUGUGGAUGGGGAUGCGUCUGAUUAGCUUGUUGGCGGGGUAACGGCCCACCAAGGCAACGAUCAGUAGGGGUUCUGAGAGGAAGGUCCCCCACAUUGGAACUGAGACACGGUCCAAACUCCUACGGGAGGCAGCAGUGAGGAAUAUUGGUCAAUGGGCGGAAGCCUGAACCAGCCAAGUAGCGUGCAGGAUGACGGCCCUAUGGGUUGUAAACUGUUUUUAUACAGGAAUAAAGUUAGCCACGUGUGGUUAUUUGUAGGUACUGUAUGAAUAAGGACCGGCUAAUUCCGUGCCAGCCGCCGCCGUAA